GUAGCCCACAGGGGAAGGGCAUCUGCUUGACAUGCAAAUGGUCCCAGGUUCAAUGCCUGACAUCUCCA